GCAGCGUGCCGCCUCCUGGCCAGGUCAGGAGGGAAAUGAUCCUGCGGGUUUUGUUCUUAAUUUAUUUCAUCCAAGUUCUCCAGACGUGGCCUCGGCCCUCGGAACAAUUAGGUUCACGUAAGGACUUCUGCCGCCAUGUGCAGCGUGGGGCCCCACGGGUCCCCUCCCUUCCCCACGGAGCCCUCCGCCCCGGGGGUCCCCGCCACAGCCCGGUCCCCGGGAGCCCCAUGAGCAACCUCACAGUGGUGUGCCGCUGGCACUCCACCCGCUGGGCACGGCUGCCCACCCUCAGGCCUGGCCUCGGAGGCGCAUGCCCUCUGAGUCCACCCCACCACGAGACCUGUCGGGCUGGGCACCGGGCAGGGCCUGUGUCGCUGUGGCUUGAGCUGCCCGAAGGCAUUUUGGGGACUUUAUUCUGAGUGGUGGGAGCGCCCUUUCCCCUGUGUCACGCUGGGCCCUGGGUGUCUCGUCCCCAGUGGUCCGGGGCCUCCACCUGAGACCACUGCGUCUUCGCACUGUCCUCCGAUGCUUUCCUUCUGGCUGUGCCCUGGCCUGCGCCCCCUGGUGGCCAGAUGCUGUGGCCACUGUUGCACCAUCCCGUUUUUUACAACGUUCAACUUCAGCAUUUUUACUAUGAUAAUGAACUUUCCCUCCAAAUUCUUCAAUAAAAAUAGCUUUUCAAGUU